CGUAGGUGCGAGCGUUGUCCGGAAUUACUGGGCGUAAAGAGCUCGUAGGCGGUUUGUCGCGUCGUCUGUGAAAUCCUACAGCUUAACUGUGGGCGUGCAGGCGAUACGGGCAGACUUGAGUACUACAGGGGAGACUGGAAUUCCUGGUGUAGCGGUGAAAUGCGCAGAUAUCAGGAGGAACACCGGUGGCGAAGGCGGGUCUCUGGGUAGUAACUGACGCUGAGGAGCGAAAGCAUGGGUAGCGAACAGGAUU
rnacentral:rRNA from 1 species